UUUCGGGUGCAAACCUGUGGCAACACUUAAUGCCAUUUGGAGUCGCUUGUCCCAGGUUAACACAGAUUUCUUAUCCGUCUUAUCUGCAGUAAGAAAGUUGAUCUAGCUUCAGAAGAAGGAAACUUUGGACUUGUGCAGCUGGGCCCAAUUGCUCACUACUAGCGAAGGACAACAAUCAGCAAGCUAGAGUUGCAGUUUAUGGUCGACCGUUACGGUCGAUUUCGGAAAUUUUUUUCUGGAAAAAAAUUUCCACCCGGAGGGGUGGAAAUUUAUUUCCAGAAAUAUUUUUUUGCCCGUUAGGGCACUCUCGCUUCCUCUCACCCGCGUCGUCUUCCUCUCGCCCGCGUCUUCCUCUCCCUCUCCCCGCAGCCUCCUCCUCCUCUCGCAGAUUUUUGGUUUUUUCUCGCUCUCUCCAGCUGCUCUCUCGCUCUCCCCUUCUUCAAGUUUCGGCGUCUUUCCCCUUUUCGGAAACUCAUUUCCUCUGCGAGGGGUGGAGAACGGUUUAUUUUUCUGCCCGUUAGGGCACCCACGCUUCGCCAAAGGGAAGCUGCCUCCCUUUCUUCUCCCUCUUUGGUCCCUCUCUGUCUCUGUGGGAUCGAUGGCCUGCACCAUCGAUUUUCGGUGCUUAGAUGAAGGAUUGGGGGCCCAGAACCGCCAAAAGAGAAAGAGAUCGGUGGCAGACGAUGACGGUGAGCCCCUGGCCAUGGAAGUCGACGAUGUCCCUACUUCGAAGAGAUCUGCCGUCCCCUCUGAAGCAGAAGAAGCUCUUGAAGGUGGUGUUUGACGAUCUUCUCAAGAAGUAGGGUUUUACCUUUUCUUUAUUUUUUCUUUUCCCUCUCGUUUGAACUUUAUAUAUGGUCAUAUGUACGUUUUUGGCUGGUGGGUGUUGGAGAAAUUGACAACCAUGAAAGGGAAAUGAGUUUAUCUCUAUUUUGGUAGCCGCAGAGGUUUUGUAGUGAAAAUUCAUUCGGCUAAACUACUUAAUUUUAACUGAGAUUUAGUUUGAA